UUUUAAAAAACUGAUUAAAAAUGACAAUGAAUUUUUAUGAUCGAUAAAAAAAAAAACAUAUUGAUCUACUCAAAACACAUCUAAUAUAUUAAUUUUUACUACUUAACAAGGGCUACGUUUUAAAAAGAAAAUCAAACUGAGUUAAACACUAUAUAAGUGGUGUAAGUAGAACAUUAAAUAUAUAAAUCAUAAAGUGACAAGUAAUUGAUACAUUUGUUGAGGAUGCAAAAUAUGGCUAAAAUUGUCAAGUUUUCUAAUGUUAUGAUUAUCAGUUUCUCCUUAUUUCUUAUCACCGUGAAAGCAAAAAUGGAGGGAGAUGAUUGUAUUGCUAGUGCCGAUUGUGAAUGCGACCAUCCAUUGAUACCUGUGUGUUUUUAUAACUUGUGUAAGUGUAUUUCAUUAUAAUUUAAUGUAUAUUUAGUUUGUUUUUUCGAAUUUCAUGGACCUUGUAGUUAUGGGUUGUAUCUAGAUUGAUGUUAAAUGAAAUACAAUUAGGUGUUAAAAAAUAUUAUAUAUAAACUAUCUUCUUCUCUAGUUUUGAAGAUAGCACCAUGGCCUUCAAUUUAAGCACCAAUUUUCCUUUGCAA